GCGAUCGUACCAGCACUAAUGCAUUGAAUCCCAUCAGAACUCCGAAAUUAUGUGUGCUUGGGCGAGAGCAGAACUAGGAUGGGUGACACCCUGGGAGGUUCUCGUGUUGCACCU
rnacentral:rRNA from 1 species